UACGAAGGGGGCUAGCGUUGCUCGGAAUUACUGGGCGUAAAGGGCGCGUAGGCGGCACUGUUGGUCAGGCGUGAAAGUCCUGGGCUCAACCUGGGAACUGCGCUUGAUACGGCAGAGCUAGAGGAUGGAAGAGGCUCGCGGAAAUUCCCAGUGUAGAGGUGAAAUUCGUAGAUAUUGGGAAGAACACCGGUGGCGAAGGCGGCGAGCUGGUCCAUUACUGACGCUGAGGCGCGACAGCGUGGGGAGCAAACAGG
rnacentral:rRNA from 1 species